AAAAAAAAUCAGCAAGAACACCAGUGAGAAUCCCCACUACUCCUUUCUCUUUACUAGCUCAAUCUCUUUCUAGCCUAGCUUAAAGCGUGUCUGGACUAUAAGUGUCCAGUAGGUUUGUCCCAGGAGAGAGGGACUCAAAUUAUUCCUGAUUUGAAGUCCUACACAAAGAUCCUGAGUGGUAGGAGUCAUUGGCCAAAACCGCAAAUUCAGGCCUGCAGAUGGUGCCUCUAGGGUGGCUGUCACCCAUCUCUGAAGAGUGAUACUGGAACUGAAACCCACAAG
rnacentral:lncRNA from 1 species